rnacentral:lncRNA from 1 species
CCUCAGACUUCCUAGCUCUAAAUCAUAUAUUAUUCUCUCUCCGUCUUACACCAUAUAGUAAAUCAGUCCCUUUAUAAACAAGAUUGCUUCAUAUGUGGCCCAAUGGAUGAUCAACCUAUAUCAGCCAUUCUCCUAUCCAAUGUGGCCAUACCCAUCAACUCUAGUAUCCCCAUUUUACAAAAAUUCACUGACAGCUGCCCUUUCAUACAGCAGGGCUAAACAGAUCUUGCUGGAACACCCCAACUAACACCCACACCAGCUCCCUUGCUCUCUACACCAUAUCAUUAUGGGGUCAGACUCUUCCAUGAGCCCCCCAGGAACUCACUUCUUAUGCCAAAAUAGUUCCCUCACAAUAUGCAUCAAUACUUCCACCCCAGGCCUUUGUGUCUUGAUUGUCCUUUCUAUCAUCUUAUUCUCUAUACUUCGGCAGAGAUGGCUGUAUUCAUUUUCCCUCCAUCCGUGACAACACAAUCUAAGUGGGCAGUCAUCCUUCCAGUCCUCCUAGGCAUUAGUAACCCUGGGGACAGAAGAGGGAGCUCUUGGACAUAGCCUUAACUUGGCCUCCCAACUUGACCAACUUGGCGAGGAAGUAGUCAGAUCCAUGGACACUUCAACUGAGGCUAUCUGCCUCCUACAAGCUCAGAUCCUGUCCCUGGCAGAAGUCACCCUACAAAACAGGAGGGCAAUAGAACUAAUAAUAGCCGAAAAGGGAGGCACCAGCCUUUUCCUUGGAGAACAAUGUUGUUACUAUGUCAACCAAUCAGGAAAAGUGGAACAAAACAUAGAAACCUUACAGAAUCUAACAGCUAUGCUCAAACUCAAGUUCUCUGGCCACUCCCUGCUUCCUCUCUCACCAGCCGAGGGAACCCAUCCUUCCUUGGGGUUUACCCCUUCUGGGAUCUCUGUCUGCCAUUUCUCUGCCUGACUUUUUUAUUAUCAUGUGUUUUUAAGUGUUUACAGGAAGCCAUCAUGAAAAGAACUAAGACCUUGACCAACCAAGUGGUCAAUGAGACACUUCUGAGGGAAUAUACUCUCCUGACAGAAGAAACCCCUCUAGGACCUGCCUCUGCCCCUGUUCCUCACCCCCAUGCCAGCAGGAAGUAGCCAAAGAAGAAGAAACCUCCAUGCAUAAACCACCCUAAUCCCCAAUAUUAAAACCAAAAGGAAGCUGUUGGCAUAUGAUUACAGCCAUCCUCCUUUCCCCACCCCCACUUUGUGAAUACUGUUCUUAUCCUCAAGAAACAGAAACUUGCCCGUCCUUGAGAUAGAAACUUGCCAGUCUUUGGUCUUGUUCUGUCCUGGAAAGAUAAAGACUUGCCCAUCUCUGUUCCCAAGAAACAGAAACUUGCCUUUGGCAAAAUCAGGUGAAGCUUGUUAUGCCAAUCACAAGGGCUACACCUGCCCCUAAUGGACAGCCAUGAUUCUGGCCUGUAAAAAGUAACACUCGUGGGAUUUUCUGCUGCUCUCCCUCACUGUCUGCUAAUGUAGCCUUAUCAGGUGCCUAACAAUAAAUCUGUUUUCUG